rnacentral:rRNA from 1 species
ACGUGAGUAACCURCCCUUGACUCUGGGAUAAGCCCGGGAAACUGGGUCUAAUACCGGAUAGGAACGUCCACCGCAUGGUGGUUGUUGGAAAGAUUUAUCGGUCAUGGAUGGACUCGCGGCCUAUCAGCUUGUUGGUGAGGUAAUGGCUCACCAAGGCGACGACGGGUAGCCGGCCUGAGAGGGUGACCGGCCACACUGGGACUGAGACACGGCCCAGACUCCUACGGGAGGCAGCAGUGGGGAAUAUUGCACAAUGGGCGAAAGCCUGAUGCAGCGACGCCGCGUGAGGGAUGACGGCCUUCGGGUUGUAAACCUCUUUCAGUAGGGAAGAAGCGAAAGUGACGGUACCUGCAGAAGAAGCACCGGCUAACUACGUGCCAGCAGCCGCGGUAAUACGUAGGGUGCGAGCGUUAUCCGGAAUUAUUGGGCGUAAAGAGCUCGUAGGCGGUUUGUCGCGUCUGUCGUGAAAGUCCGGGGCUUAACCCCGGAUCUGCGGUGG